rnacentral:lncRNA from 1 species
GAGAAAAGGAGGGAAUUCUGAUGAAAGUUUCUGGUGCGGACCCGGGAGGUCUUGUCUAGAGUGGAUGGGUGGAUGGAUAAAGGAGGAAGGUUCCUCCUCAUGUGGUGGACAGGAGUGCUGUCACAGGCUGCCCCAGACUGUCCCAGCUCUCUGUGUCUGUUAUUUCAGGAAUGAUUACUGUCUUUGUUUACAGGGCAAGGUGGCAGACAGCUGAUUUACCAGACAGAAGUUUAGAUGCCUUUGGUCGGCAUUAGAAGGAUUCUGCUUCUUGAGCUCAUGUGGGCUGGCUGAUAACCAGGGAGUGCAGGAAGCCCUCAAGGGGGAGACUCCAGUACUGUCCGUCAGCUCAGGUGCUGGACAGUCACAGCAUGGUAGGAGGGGAAGAACCCUGGGCCAAGAAUCUGUAGCCCUGGGAGCCAGAUCUGGUUCUGCUACUAACUCACUGCAUGAUACGCCUCAAGACUCUUCCUGUCUAUCUGGGGAGUGGGGUGUUGGGCCAGGUGGUCUCCUGUGUUGCUUCCCGCUUUGUGGGAACUCCGCUUUGUAGUUCUGAGAUUUAAAACUGCACCUGAACAACCUAAGGCAAGCCAAUUUCCAGGUCCAUGAUAGAUCAUGAAAGCCCUUUCCUCUUUCCUAGUGAGUUCCAUGUUGUUUCAAUUCUUUGAUGUUUAGAUACUCUGUGGUAGGAAGUUAUAAUAACGGUGACUUUGGUUUCUGUUACAACGAUUCUGGUAUCCGGGCAAGAACGGUGGGCUUAUGGAUUACCUAUGACAUAGAGUUAAUAUAAGUAGAGUGCUGACUGGCUGGCAGUAAGCCAGUGUAAGCAUUAACCAUCAUUAUUAUUAU